rnacentral:rRNA from 1 species
AACGAACGCUGGCGGCAUGCCUAACACAUGCAAGUCGAACGAGACCUUCGGGUCUAGUGGCGCACGGGUGCGUAACGCGUGGGAACCUGCCCUUAGGUUCGGAAUAACUCCCCGAAAGGGGUGCUAAUACCGGAUAAUGUCUUCGGUCCAAAGAUUUAUCGCCUUUGGAUGGGCCCGCGUUGGAUUAGCUAGUUGGUAGGGUAAAAGCCUACCAAGGCGACGAUCCAUAGCUGGUCUGAGAGGAUGAUCAGCCACACUGGGACUGAGACACGGCCCAGACUCCUACGGGAGGGAGGAGUGGGGAAUAUUGGACAAUGGGCGAAAGCCUGAUCCAGCAAUGCCGCGUGAGUGAUGAAGGCCUUAGGGUUGUAAAGCUCUUUUACCCGGGAUGAUAAUGACAGUACCGGGAGAAUAAGCUCCGGCUAACUCCGUG